GGUUUGGAGGUCUAGUCUUGUGGGGAGCUGUUUUUUCCAGCAGGAGGAGCCAGGAGGUUACGGUUGGUUGAAGGGCGGUUCCCGCGCACCGGUGCGUAAUUGGCACAAUCAUCGCCAGCAUAAGAGGAGCGGGCGGCGUCUUCUCCGGCGCCAGAGUGUUGACCAGUAAUGGUGCACUUUUGUGACGCUGAGUACUCGACUGUUGAGAACCCCGUCCUGGCCCGUGGAUUUCCCUCCUCGUGACGCUCGAACUCCCCUGUCCGUUACCCCUGAAGAUUCUCCGACCUUCGGGUCCGGACCGGACUCCUCCACCCUCCCGUCAGCUUCCUAGGCUCCAGACGCAACCUGAGUUUUUUCCCCCCUGGCGGAUGAACCUCACCUCACCCACACUGAGACGAUACCGAUCCAGUUUCCCCCAGAAAACAUUUACCCAACCCAAACAUUCUUC